AUUGCUUCUCAGCCUUUUGGCUAAGACCAAGUGUAGUAUCUGCUCUUAGCAGUUUAAUAUAAAUGUUAGUUGAGAAGUUACAAUGUGCUAGGCCGUGUGUUGAAUGCUA
ensembl:snRNA U2 U2 spliceosomal RNA